rnacentral:rRNA from 1 species
AGUGAACGCUGGCGGUAGGCCUAACACAUGCAAGUCGAACGGCAGCACAGUAAGAGCUUGCUCUUACGGGUGGCGAGUGACGGACGGGUGAGGAAUACAUCGGAAUCUACUUUUUCGUGGGGGAUAACGUAGGGAAACUUACGCUAAUACCGCAUACGACCUACGGGUGAAAGCAGGGGAUCUUCGGACCUUGCGCGAUUGAAUGAGCCGAUGUCGGAUUAGCUAGUUGGCGGGGUAAAGGCCCACCAAGGCGACGAUCCGUAGCUGGUCUGAGAGGAUGAUCAGCCACACUGGAACUGAGACACGGUCCAGACUCCUACGGGAGGCAGCAGUGGGGAAUAUUGGACAAUGGGCGCAAGCCUGAUCCAGCCAUACCGCGUGGGUGAAGAAGGCCUUCGGGUUGUAAAGCCCUUUUGUUGGGAAAGAAAAGCAGCAGGUUAAUACCCCGCUGUUCUGACGGUACCCAAAGAAUAAGCACCGGCUAACUUCG